CAAUGAGACUAGCGGGUGUCUUUCCAUGUCAUUACCCAGAAUGUUAAUGAAAUGGAAAGACUGAGAAUACACCGUUUGAACUCGAUCAAGUUAGUACUUGCGUGAGGAAGUUUUGUUGUUAUCAC
rnacentral:ncRNA from 1 species